GUCCACAGCCAUACCACCCUGAACACGGCCGAUCUCAUCUGAUCUUGGAAGCUAAAUAGGGCCGGGCCUGGUUAGUACUUGGAAGAGACACAAAAUCCCAGGACACAUGUACA
ensembl:rRNA 5S_rRNA 5S ribosomal RNA